rnacentral:rRNA from 1 species
GACGAACGCUGGCGGCGUGCUUAACACAUGCAAGUCGAACGGAAAGGCCCUGCUUUUGUGGGGUGCUCGAGUGGCGAACGGGUGAGUAACACGUGAGUAACCUGCCCUUGACUUUGGGAUAACUUCAGGAAACUGGGGCUAAUACCGGAUAGGAGCUCCUGCUGCAUGGUGGGGGUUGGAAAGUUUCGGCGGUUGGGGAUGGACUCGCGGCUUAUCAGCUUGUUGGUGGGGUAGUGGCUUACCAAGGCUUUGACGGGUAGCCGGCCUGAGAGGGUGACCGGCCACAUUGGGACUGAGGUACGGACCAGACUCGUACGGGAGGCAGCAGUGGGGAAUAUUGCACAGUGGGCGGGAGCCUGAUGCAGCAACGCCGCGUGCGGGAUGACGGCCUUCGGGUUGUAAACCGCUUUCGCCUGUGACGAAGCGUGAGUGACGGUAAUGGGUAAAGAAGCACCGGCUAACUACGUG